rnacentral:sRNA from 21 species
AUAUCUCUCCGUACGGGAAGGAUGAGAAGCUUCGACUAAGGUUCGAUUCGAGCGCAGCGAGAAAGCGUUGCCGCAGGCAACGACCCGAAGGGUGAAGCGCGCAGCGCUGAGUAAUCCUUCCCCCACCACCA